AGCAGCCGCGGUAAUUCCAGCUCCAAUAGCGUAUAUUAAAGUUGUUGCAGUUAAAAAGCUCGUAGUUGAAUUUCGGGGUUAGUAGGUUGGUCAUGCCUCUGGUAUGUACUGGUCUCACUGAUUCCUCCUUCCUGAUGAACCGUAAUGCCAUUAAUUUGGUGUUGCGGGGAAUUUGGACUGUUACUUUGAAAAAAUUAGAGUGUUUAAAGCAAGCUAACGCUUGAAUACAUUAGCAUGGAAUAAUGAAAUCGGACGUUCGAUCCUAUUUUGUUGGUUUCUAGGAUUGACGUAAUGAUUAAUAGGGAUAGUUGGGGGCAUUAGUAUUCAAUUGUCAGAGGUGAAAUUCUUGGAUUUAUUGAAGACUAACUACUGCGAAAGCAUUUGCCCAGGAUGUUUUCAUUAAUCAAGAACGAAGUUAGGGGAUCGAAGACGAUCAGAUACCGUCGUAGUCUUAACCCAUAAACCUAUGCCGACUAGGGAUCGGAUGAUGUUAAUUUUUUAAUG
rnacentral:rRNA from 1 species